AAUAUUUAUUUAUUAGUUUUUUUGCAGACAUUUUUAAUAAUUUGUCAAGUAUUCUUUAAUUUAUUUCUGUCCAUUAUAUCUCACAGAAUCAUAGUACUGACGGUGGAGACGGAGAUUCUACAAUUAAAUUCUGUCAAAAUUCCAAAAUGGAACUUUUGAUAAAUUUAUCCUUCUUGAAUUAUUUAUGAACGUAUGAGUAAUCACAAGAAAUUUAAUAUCACUGCAUUCUAUGAUUAAUGACUGUUGGCUUGCUCGCUCGUAGUUUAUAGAAUAUAAGCUCCCGAAUUAUAUAAAUUAUAUUACAUAAAGAAGGUAUCAGAUUGCACUAACUGGAACAUUAGAUUUUGUUAUGCAACACGCAGUAUUUUAUGCUACAAUGCAUCUUGCAGGUAUCACGUAUCUUUUUUUUUGGAGAAAGGCAACGAUAUCGCUUGAUAAAAUGGUUGAUAAUAACAGCUAUUUUCUAUCCGGAAUUGUUAAAAAUUGUAGAAUAAUAGCCAGUGCGAUUAGAUUUUUCAUGAGUUGUAUCAUCAUGCGUUAUAUCAACGAUUGUAUGGUUAUAUAAGUAGACGUUAUAUUUGUUGUAAACUUUACAUAUUAUAAUCGUGGCGUGUUACGAAAACUUCGCGUAAUAUCGAUGCGCAUUAUAAUUGUUACGAAUUACAUCCUAUAGGUUAUAUCGCCACGAGGUAGUUGUCACAAUAUCGAAAGUGAAACAUUUUUUAAAACUCCUAGUUCCUCGCCAGUUAAUAUAAUAAAACUCCAUAGUAUCAGUGAAUAUAACAACGAUAAAGGUACUCUAUGGGAAAUUAAUAAAUGGGUAAGUAAAGGUUAAAAAGAAACGGUAAGUGUUCAUUGCUUUUAAAUGUUGCUACGAUGUUUUCUAUUCGGGGUGAAUCAUCGACAGAUUUUCACCGCUUAUCGCAAUGAUGUAAAAUGAAUUCUCAUCCUAUAUGACCAGCCACUCGUGCUGAUUGCAUUUUUUCAACAAUCGUGUCGUCGUUGGUGUGCGCGACGCGUGGAGAAGGCUCAUACGGAUGCAUAAUGCUAUUCUAUUGUAACGGGUGUUGAUAUAUCGCUGACACGACAGAGGAGUUUCGUUGGCGGUGCUCGAGCUAGAAAUUUCAAGGAGAAACACUUUCACUGUCACAUUGUGUUACCUAUUGUGUAAUUAUCGUGUUCUGACUAAGUUGUUCGCUUUGCAAUAACUCCACGCAUUUGUUCAUAAGAAAUUAACAUCUAUUUUCAGUAAUAGUAUAAAAGCGAACGUAGUUGUUUUUUGAAUUUAAAAAGAGAACUAAAUAUCCGAGUAUGUGUCCUUGAAGAAGUUAAGAAACUAUUGUACUAACAAAUAAAUAAUUGGAUUUCUACUUU